AUGCUGCUCCUCAGUGGAUUCACUUUCUCCUGCCUCUGGGUUUUUGGACUUGGGCAGUUGGAGCCAAUUGAAAUAUCAGUCACCAGAGCAGUAAGCCAGAGUGCCCAAAUAUCCUGUAAAGUUUCUCUUGAAGGCUUUGACACAGUAGAUAUACAUUGGUACCGGCAGAAGACAAAUCAACCAUUUGAGUAUCUGAUAUAUAUCAGGAAUGAUAAUACUCAUCGCCCUUUAGAAGGGAUCAGCAAGAAAAUUGAAGCAAAGAAAGACUUUCAAACUUCUACUGCAACCUUGAUCAUAAAUUCCUUGAAGAAAAAAGAUGAAGCCAUCUACUACUGUGCAGUCUGGCAGCGUGACAGGUCAUCGUGGAUCAAAGUAUUUUCAAAAGGGACGAAGCUCAUAGUAAUUCCCUCAGACAAAUACUUUGGUUCAGAUGUUUCCCCCAAGCCUACCAUUUUUCUUCCUUCUGUUGCUGAAACAAAUCUCCAUAAGGCUGGGACAUACCUUUGUCUCCUUGAGAAAUUCUUCCCUGAUGUUAUAAGGGUGUAUUGGAAAGAAAAGGAUGGUGAUAAGAUUCUGAAAUCUCAAGAGGGAAAUAGCAUGAAGACGAAUGAUACAUACAUGAAGUUAAGCUGGCUGACUGUGACUGAAGAUUCAAUGGAUAAAGAGCAUAAAUGUAUUGUCAAACAUGAAAACAAUCGGGGAGGAGUUGAUCAAGAGAUUCUGUUUCCUCCUAUAGAUAAAGCCUAUCUGGGCUAUUCUGUUCAAAGAGCAGAUGAACCUAACUACAGGAUUCUCUUAGAUGUGCUGCAGAUUCAGGUGACGAACACCUCUGCAUUCUACACCUACCUCAUCCUGUUCUUCAAGAGUGUGGUCCACUUGGCCUUCGUUAUAUUCUGUGUGUUUAGAAGAGCAGCUGUGUGUUUUGACGGUCAAAGCUCAUAAUGGAUGAUGAAACAGGAGGGUCACGUUGUCGUCAUCCUGCUCUGCCCCUCAAUAUCUUCUGAGGGUCUAGCUGGAUGUGCUUGCUGCUUGGACCUCCUCAAGGUCACACAUGUGGAAUUUCGUAUCAUUACUAUACAAAUGUUUUCAAAACAGGGAGGGAACUGAUCAACUUCACUCUACAACAAAUAGUAGCCCAUGGAAGCACCCAGCCAUCCUCAUCCAUCCCCUCAGUGCCCCCCCAAAACAGCCCAGAGCAUCACAGCCCCAAUGUACACAAACUGCAGCUUCUAGUCACCCCACUUCAUGCCCUUGAACCAGAUAACGCCCUAAAAGCCUCUACUUCACAUGCCCCAAAGAAUCUUAUUUGAACUUAAACUCUGUGCUUUGUUUUGCAAAAUACAAUAAAA